UAAGUGCUUUUCUUUGGGGUUG
rnacentral:miRNA from 1 species